AAAAUGAAAUGUCUAAUUAAUUUAUAUAUUAAUAUAAAACUACAAAAUGCUAAUAAGAAAAGAAACAUAUGAGAAUAAAUGGGACCAAAGGCAGCGCCACACUCCUUAAAAAAAAUUGAAAUCCCAUGUUUCUUUUAAAAUUAAAAAAUGAAUAAUAGCAUGGCGACACAUGUCAUAAUUAAUGAAACAUAAAAAAAACAAAGCAC
rnacentral:lncRNA from 1 species